rnacentral:piRNA from 1 species
UNGAAAGUGCUGGUGAUUGCCUUCCCC